GACGAACGCUGGCGGCGUGCUUAACACAUGCAAGUCGAGCGGUAAGGCCCUUUCGGGGGUACACGAGCGGCGAACGGGUGAGUAACACGUGGGUGACCUGCCCUCAGCUCUGGGAUAAGCCUGGGAAACCGGGUCUAAUACUGGAUAUGACUCCAUGACGCAUGUUGUGGGGUGGAAAGCCUUGUGCGGCUGAGGAUGGGCCCGCGGCCUAUCAGCUUGUUGGUGGGGUGANGGGCCUACCAAGGCGACGACGGGUAGCCGGCCUGAGAGGGCGACCGGCCACACUGGGACUGAGACACGGCCCAGACUCCUACGGGGAGGCAGCAGGUGGGGAAUCUUGCGCAAUGGGCGAAAGCCUGACGCAGCGACGCCGCGUGAGGGAUGACGGCCUGG
rnacentral:rRNA from 1 species